GUUGGUAGCGCGUGACGUUGUUCCUGUUUGCUUCUUUUGGCUGUCGUUCGCAGAUUGCAGCGAACGUUUCUUAAAUUAAAAUCGGAGUAUUUUUAAGCCAUCCUUGCCGUUGUAAGGUGCUUUUCAUCACAACUUUCUAAUAAUGAGAGCUAAGUGGAGGAAGAAGCGUAUGCGAAGGCUAAAGCGUAAACGCAGGAAGAUGCGUGCGAGGUCUAAGUAAACGGAUUUGAGGGUUUGGUCUUUCGUGCUCGACAUUCUGAACACCUUCAACACCCUUGUUUGCUAUUAUCAUACUUUUUGUAACUUACCACAAUUCCAAUAAAGAAUUGAAAAGUUA